AUUGAACGCUGGCGGCAGGCCUAACACAUGCAAGUCGAGCGAGCGGCGGACGGGUGUGUAAUAUCUGGGAAAAUGCCUGAUGGAGGGGGAUAACUACUGGAAACGGUAGCUACUACCGCAUACCAUCAGAUGUGCCCAGAUGGGAUUAGCUAGUAGGUGGGGUAACGGCUCACCUGGGCGACGAUCCCUAGCUGGUCUGAGAGGAUGACCAGCCACACUGGAACGGAGAAACGGUACAGACUCCUACGGGAGGCAGAAGUGGGGAAUAUGGGACAAUGGGCGCAGGCCGGAUGCAGCCAUUCCGCGGGUGUGAAGAAGGCCGUCGGGUUGUAAAGCACUUUCAGCGGGGAGGCGUUACCCGCAGAAGAAGCACCGGCUAACUCCGUGCCAGCAGCCGCGGUAAUUC
rnacentral:rRNA from 1 species